CCUACGGGGGGCAGCAGUAGGGAAUAUUGCUCAAUGGGGGAAACCCUGAAGCAGCAACGCCGCGUGGAGGAUGAAGGUUUUCGGAUUGUAAACUCCUUUUGUUAGAGAAGAUAAUGACGGUAUCUAACGAAUAAGCACCGGCUAACUCCGUGCCAGCAGCCGCGGUAAUACGGAGGGUGCAAGCGUUACUUGGAAUCACUGGGCGGAAAGAGCGCGUAGGCGGGAUAGCAAGUCAGAUGUGAAAUCCUAUGGCUUAACCAUAGAACUGCAUUUGAAACUGUUAUUCUAGAGUAUGGGAGAGGUAGGUGGAAUUCUUGGUGUAGGGGUAAAAUCCGUAGAGAUCAAGAGGAAUACUCAUUGCGAAGGCGACCUGCUAGAACAUAACUGACGCUGAUGCGCGAAAGCGUGGGGAGCAAACAGGAUUAGAUACCCCAGUAGUC
rnacentral:rRNA from 1 species